rnacentral:rRNA from 1 species
AACGCGAAGAACCUUACCUGGCCUUGACAUCCACGGAAUUUGGCAGAGAUGCCUUAGUGCCUUCGGGAACCGUGAGACAGGUGCUGCAUGGCUGUCGUCAGCUCGUGUUGUGAAAUGUUGGGUUAAGUCCCGCAACGAGCGCAACCCUUAUCCUUUGUUGCCAGCACGUAAUGGUGGGAACUCAAAGGAGACUGCCGGUGAUAAACCGGAGGAAGGUGGGGAUGACGUCAAGUCAUCAUGGCCCUUACGGCCAGGGCUACACACGUGCUACAAUGGCGCAUACAAAGAGAAGCGACCUCGCGAGAGCAAGCGGACCUCAUAAAGUGCGUCGUAGUCCGGAUCGGAGUCUGCAACUCGACUCCGUGAAGUCGGAAUCGCUAGUAAUCGUAGAUCAGAAUGCUACGGUGAAUACGUUCCCGGGUCUUGUACACACCG